AACGAACGCUGGCGGCAUGCCUAACACAUGCAAGUCGAACGAGACCUUCGGGUCUAGUGGCGCACGGGUGCGUAACGCGUGGGAACCUGCCCUUAGGUUCGGAAUAACUCCCCGAAAGGGGUGCUAAUACCGGAUAAUGUCUUCGGACCAAAGAUUUAUCGCCUUUGGAUGGGCCCGCGUUGGAUUAGCUAGUUGGUAGGGUAAAAGCCUACCAAGGCGACGAUCCAUAGCUGGUCUGAGAGGAUGAUCAGCCACACUGGGACUGAGACACGGCCCAGACUCCUACGGGAGGCAGCAGUGGGGAAUAUUGCACCAUGGGCGAAAGCCUGAUCCAGCAAUGCCGCGUGAGUGAUGAAGGCCUUAGGGUUGUAAAGCUCUUUUACCCGGGAUGAUAAUGACAGUACCGGGAGAAUAAGCUCCGGCUAACUCCGUG
rnacentral:rRNA from 1 species